rnacentral:rRNA from 1 species
GGGUCAAUAGGUUGGUCGUGCCACCGGUACGUACUGGUCUCACUGAUUCCUCCUUCCUGAAGAACCGUAAUGCCAUUAAUUUGGUGUUGCGGGGAAACAGGACUGUUACUUUGAAAAAAUUAGAGUGUUUAAAGCAAGCUAACGCUUGAAUACAUUAGCAUGGAAUAAUGGAAUAGGACGAUCGAUCCUAUUUUGUUGGUUUCUAGGAUUGACGUA